AAUCAAACCCACGCCUGUGGAUACUAAUCAGCUGCAUAACCUGUCACGUGGAGAUGAUGACAUGCUGGGGCCGUCGGGAAGGACUCCGUUGGGCAAAGGCGGUCGUGACCAGAGCAGGCAGAGAGUCCCAAAGGGGCAUCGUGCACAGUAGGGACCAGGCGCAUCUCACAGAUGCACAGACCAGGUGGCAGGCUGGUCCAGAGAGGCGGCCUGAACAAAGACAUUUGGGUGCGUUGUUUGUACACACCUGAGAAGGCCGAACUUUGGGUCUGGAACACCAGAAAUGGUUCCGCUGAGUGCCUCUCACACUAGUGAGCGCAGACCCCCAAGGCAGCCACUGUGGGUUUUGUGGGCACCUGCUCUACUCUGCACACCUACUGCCUGGUUUCAGGAUUGGGGAGGUCACUGAUUAAUGAUAUUUCACAAAAUAAAAUCUAACAGUCAA